CCCCCCCCCCCCCCCCCCCCAAAAAAAAAAAAAAAGGUAUUGUCCAACCCAUGGACUUAAAACGUGCCACCAGAGCCACGUUGACACCAUUUAAUUGGAUAGAGACCAAAUUACUUUCGGGGGUUUAGCUUUUACAUCUGUUUUUCUGAUAAAGACCUUUUAAUGACCAACUACCUUUUUAUAAUAUUUUAUAAUAUUUCAAUAUGAUUAAAAUAAAAUAUGAAUCGAAUCUUGACCUAAAUGUUAUUCAUUUUUAAUCAAAUUUUGGAUUCAUCCAAUAUCAAAUUUAAUAUCUUUUAGAUCCAAAUUCGAUCUAUGGCC
rnacentral:lncRNA from 1 species